ACAAAAUUGAAGGCUGGCAACUAUAGCUUAUUUCUGUGUAUUAGCAGGUUUAUUUUCAGAGUUAUAGAAGUCCUCAUGUAAAAGCUCUCAAGUUAUUAUAAUUUCAGGGACAAAUAUUAAGUACAUAAGAAAACCUCUCAGAUAUUAUAGGCUUUGAUUGCAGUGUGAAUGGCUGACUUGAAACUGACAUCAACUACUUCUUGGGGAAGACAGCUCAACACAAAAAGGAUGUUUCUGUCCAGCUAAAAACAAGAACUGCUCUGUUCUUGAAGCCCUAUAAGCCGAAGCUGAACAACUCAAUAUAAAUUUCAAGGGACAAGUCUCAGUUCUGAUGUGUGAGCUACAUAGAGUUUACCAGAACACCCCAUGCCACAACUAGAGACAUUCAAACUGCAAACUAGGACAAGAAGUUGCCAACUUCAUACUGUGAAAAGCUAUUUCCAAGAUUCUCAGAAUAAAACUCCCUACCAUAAUAAGAUUCUUACCCCUCUUUCUUUUUCCUUACUUGUGCCUACCUCUUUUGCUUGGCAGGAUAGUACUGUAGUUAAGUUUUUACAAAAGCUUCAGAGGAUAACUUGCACUGCCUGCAUUAAGUUGACCCAGUCUUGGGAUGCUAGAUUACCUACUAAUUAAAGAGGGAGGAAUCUGUGCAGUUGAUGAUACUUCCUGAUGCACAUAGAUAAAUACGUUGGUUUUUAGAUCCAAUUACUUGGUUAAAAUGGAUCGGGUCUUUGCCUGGCUAUUAGAUUUUAGUUGGUUUGAUCAUGGGGAUCCUGGCUAAGUAGUGUACUCCAAACUCUUUGUAUUAUCAUCUUGAUAGUCAGAAUAGUAGUCUUGCUGGUGCGCUGUGUUCUCUCAAAACAUUUUAAAUAUUUCCAUAUGGCCAUCUGUCAGAUGGUCUUUCUCCAGCUAAAACAACAAAAACUCAAAGAAAUGUAUGAUAAUGAUGAUGAUGUCAUAAUGGUUAAAUGUCAUUCUGAGACUAGAAACCUGAAAUGAUGCUGAGAGUAGCACUGAUACCCAAGGUUUUGGUGACAAUCUCACUUAGGCGACAGCCUAACCAAAGUGGGGAAUUGUUAAGUAAAAAUCAUGGGAAGUCAUUGUUUUUCACUAAGCCCCAACAGACCACACUAAAAAUCAAAAUAGAGUAACCCAUGCUAAAGUUCCACAUCACCAAACCUAAACUAAAUUGUCAUCAGACCUUCUCAGAAUUCAGAAGAGAGAGAUCAGUUAUUUCCCAAAUAAGCCAGUUUAAAUUUUCAGUGAGCAUGAACUCUCUACAUUAAUCCAUACACAAAUAAAAGUAGGCUGAGGUAACAUGAUGUUAAUUAGUCAGCUAUUUUUUUUUUCUCCCUGGCCCUGCCUUAGAAGGAAAAGUAACUUUGAAAAGUAACUAACAGAUUGAUGAUUCUUUGCUUCUGUUUAAUUCAGCCCAUUAUUUUCUAUUAAACCAAAAAUUCUUAUGCUCAACUCACUGGAACACAUAUUC
rnacentral:lncRNA from 10 species